UACAGAGGGUGCAAGCGUUGUUCGGAAUUACUGGGCGUAAAGGGCGUGUAGGCGGUUGAACAAGUCAGAUGUGAAAGCCCGGGGCUCAACUCCGGAAGUGCAUUUGAAACUGUUCGGCUAGAGUGUAGUAGAGGAUGGCGGAAUUCCCAGUGGAGAGGUGAAAUUCGUAGAUAUUGGGAGGAACACCGGUGGCGAAGGCGGCCAUCUGGGCUACAACUGACGCUGAGGCGCGAGAGCGUGGGGAGCAAACAGG
rnacentral:rRNA from 1 species